rnacentral:lncRNA from 1 species
UGAAAAAAACAGAAAAAACCUCGUCAAAAUACCUAAAUUUGGCUGACAUUUAAGCACGGUUGCUCCGAAGCUGCUUCACGAGCUCUCUUCAGCCGCCUCGGCUCGGAGCGGCGCGGCGCAGGCUCCGCUCGCCCCUUGCCCUUCCCUCGCCGCGUCUUUCCCCGGUUUUCCUCCCGCGAGCGGAAGGAGAAACACGGAGCCGAGGUCUCGGCCGCCUGCUGCCGUCGAGCCCCCGCGGCGCCGGGAAUCCCGGUUCCUCGCCGAACCUCCGGCUCGCGGAGAGGAGAGGAGCCGCCGGCAGGGCCGGGCUCUUCGGGAACGCCGCCGGCGCCCUCCUCCUCCUCCUCGCCGCUUCCUCCGGCUCUUCUUAAGGUGCGGAUGAAUCCCGGGCCUCAUCCGGGCGGCCGGCGGGGCCGGCGCAGGCGGCGAGCCGGAGCGUUCCAGGUAGGCGCAGCCCCGCCGAGGUUAACAGAUGAGUUGCGAAACUUCCUGUUUUCUCCGUUUUUUAUCUCGAAACGGCCGCGGAGGAACCUCGCGGGCGGAGGUGCUGGGCGUCGAAGCGCCGCCGCCUUCCCGCCCUUCCGCUCCGGCCGGGAGCCGCCCGCGAUCCCCCCUGCUCCGCUCCGGUCCCUCGGCAUCCCGGCGGGAUCGGGCCCGGCGGUGGCUCCUCAUCUCUAUUUCACCUCUCCGCACGGAGUCAGGUCUCGGGGACGCGUCGCCGCGCCGGCGGCUCCCGGACCUCGGGAUUUUCCUUGCCCGUUGCCGGAACCGGCGCGUUUAGACCCGUUUUUUUACGCCUUCGGCGCGUCGACACCGCGGCCCCGACUCCCGCCUGGGGAAGCCCUUUUCCCUCCCUGCCGCCGGAAGUGGGGCGAGAGCCGUGCGCGGAGGCGCUCCUGGAUUUGCCGUUUUUCCCCUCGAUUUCAGGGCUGCCGGUGGGAGGAUUUUCUCGUGCCGGAGGAGGGAAAAAAAACCCAACCGGCCGGCAGCAAGCACCUUUCCGGAACAAUUAGGGUAGGAGGCCGCGCGGCUUCAUCUACUGACCUAGUGCCGGCGGCUCCGGCUCCGUCGGGAAGCGCCUUUUCCGCGGUGCUCCCGCGCGUUCUAAGGGCGGACGGCGCCCGCCGGAGCGGGCAGGGACCCAGGAAUCCUGCAGCCGCCGCCUUGGACAAGCAGGGCAGGUCCCGCGCGAUCCCGCCGGGAGCCGUUGGCACCGCUCCGAAUUUUUUUUUGUUUGUUUUUCCUCGCAGCUCUUCCGGGAAGUGCGGAUAAUGAAGGUCCUGAACCACCCCAACAUAGGUGAGUGGCGGCGGCGGUGGUGGUGGCGGGUGGCAGGGAGGGGGCGCGCGGCCCCCCCAUCCGUCCGUCUGUCCCCCCCCGGCGGCCCCUGCAGCCCCCCUCGGCCUCUUGCAGUGAAGCUCUUCGAGGUGAUCGAGACGGAGAAGACGCUGUACCUCGUCAUGGAGUACGCCAGCGG